rnacentral:rRNA from 1 species
GAUGAACGCUGGCGGCGUGCCUAAUACAUGCAAGUCGAGCGAACGGACGAGAAGCUUGCUUCUCUGAUGUUAGCGGCGGACGGGUGUGUAACACGUGGAUAACCUACCUAUAAGACUGGGAUAACUUCGGGACACCGGAGCUAAUACCGGAUAAUAUUUUGCACCGCAUGGUUCAAAAGUGAAAGACGGUCUUGCUGUCACUUAUAGAUGGAUCCGCGCUGCAUUAGCUAGUUGGGAAGGUAACGGCUUAUCAAGGCAACGAUGCAUAGCCGACCGGAGAGGGUGAUCGCCCACACUGGAACUGGGACGCGGUCCAGACUCCUACGGGACGCAGCAGUAGGGAAUCUUCCGCAGUGGGCGAAAGCCUGACGGAACAACGCCGCGUGAGUGAUGAAGGUCUUCGGAUCGUAAAACUCUGUUAUUGGGGAAGAACAUAUUUGUAAGUAGCUGUGCACAUCUUGACGGUACCUAAUCAGAAAGCCACGGCUAACUACGUG